GUCUCUGUGGUGCAAUGGGUCAGCAUGUUUGGCUGUUAACUGAAAGGUUGGUGGUUCGAGCCCACCCAGGGGCG